rnacentral:rRNA from 1 species
CAGUAGCCGCGGGAAUACGGAGGGUGCAAGCGUUAUCCGGAUUUAUUGGGUUUAAAGGGUCCGUAGGCGGAUCUGUAAGUCAGUGGUGAAAUCUCACAGCUUAACUGUGAAACUGCCAUUGAUACUGCAGGUCUUGAGUAAAUUUGAAGUGGCUGGAAUAAGUAGUGUAGCGGUGAAAUGCAUAGAUAUUACUUAGAACACCAAUUGCGAAGGCAGGUCACUAAGAUUUAACUGACGCUGAUGGACGAAAGCGUGGGGAGCGAACAGGAUUAGAUACCCCGGUAGUCCCUGUCUCUUAUAA